UACGGGGGGAGCAAGCGUUGUUCGGAUUUACUGGGCGUAAAGGGCGCGUAGGCGGCGUGACAAGUCACUUGUGAAAUCUCCGGGCUUAACUCGGAGCGGCCAAGUGAUACUGUCGUGCUAGAGUGCGGAAGGGGCUACUGGAAUUCUCGGUGUAGCGGUGAAAUGCGUAGAUAUCGAGAGGAAGACCAGUGGCGAAGGCGGAUCUCUGGACAGUUACUGACACUGAGGCACGAAGGCCAGGGGAGCAAACGGG
rnacentral:rRNA from 1 species